rnacentral:lncRNA from 1 species
GUGUGGGGGGAAACAAUAAAAAAUGCGCGGACGAACACCCGAAAUAUUUACGCACGACUUGGCGGCGGCGGACGGUCGGAACGUCUAUCGGACGGUGUCGAACUGAUCGAAAUCAUUUUUAAAAUUUACAAUAAUAUUAUUUGGUUUAAUCGCGUGAAAAAUAUCAUAUUUACAUGUAGCCCCGUCGUGACGAUUUGACGACGGCGUGCGAUCUACGAAGAAACGGUUGCACGUUUAAAAAAAAAAAAAAAAUAAAAAAAAAUAUCGUUACGCGACGAACCGAAAGCCAUAACAUAACAUACAAUAUACUUUACGGAAACAUUAACCCGUACAUGUUUUUUUUUUUUUUUUUAUUGGUUUUUUUUUAGUUUUUAAUUAUUGCUUUUUUGUUUUUCUCCUUUUGCAUCGCCUACCGCCUUCCUUCGUCUUUCGGAACAUCGAAUUUACCGGUAUCGUUGAAAUAACAGAUUUUUUCGCGUGCACACAGGCUCGCGAAAUGCCCGUCGGUAUUUAAUUAUAUCAGCUGAUUGCUGCACGAUGACUCCGGGAUGCAUAUUGGGAAUACUAUCGCGUCUGUAUACAGUAUGGCCGGCGGCUCGACAAAAACACAAACUAUCUUAAUCGUAUCAUACAAGUUGAACGAACCGCAAAAAAAUGAAACGGCAAUCGGCUGAAAAUUCGUCACGCCACGUUGAAACCGACGUUAAGGUUCGGAAAAAUAUAGUUUGACGGCGGAGCGUUGCGAACAAAAAAAAAAAAAAUGCCCGAUACGACGGCGCGAGUUUAUCAAAGUUAACAAGCUAAAAAGAGAUCAUUGAAGAUUUACACAUGUUAAUAAUAUAAUAUAAACGCAGUGAAACCUCUAGACCGCUGUAUAUUAUCGUACAAUAUCAGUCACUAACGCGGCUGCUACGAAAAUAAUAUAAGCUUCAUAAUAGGGCCGGGUCGUGACUGCACCCGGUGCAGUCGUAUUAUCUUACAGACUACAAUAAUAUAUUACAACUGCACAGACCCAUCUGCACGGUAUUUAGUCUCGGAAAAAUAUCGGUUCAUUUAUCGUCGCCGAAGUUCUCGAUGCGAGAUGGAUGGGAAAUUGAAUGGUGCGGCAACGCGCGAAAGAGACUCGGGUACGAUUUACAAUUUUUUUAGUAAAACUACUUUAUUAACACGUCCGUUAUAGUAAAACGAACAGUUACGAUUUUCUAUAGGCGUGCGCCUAACAAGGAGUGUUGCGUAGGCGUAACAACCUCAACAAAAAUUAAACAUAAUUACAAUAAACAAAACGUACGGUCGUCGAAGUGAUCCCCGUCCACCGGGACAAAGAAUAACGUCCGCUCGAAACGCGUCAACAACCCGUUAAUCAUUAUGGAAAGUAAACCAAAAUUAUUCUGUGCGCCGUUGAUAGGGAAUAUCGAUUUAUUUUCCUAUUACAAAACAAAACAUUAUAGUAUUGUAUUACACCGCGUGCUCUCGAGGAUCGCCCCGAUACGGCGAACGUCGAGUUGCUUGGAGAAAAAAAAAAAGAAAAAGGGGAAAAAUUAUACUUAAACAAAAAGUAUCUGCGGAUUCGUAGUACUAGUAAGCGCGUAUAUUAUACAAGAGGGAGACCACCGAAUCAACGUCCGAGAACUUAGAGAUAGGUUAAAAUGAACAAAAAAAAAAAAAAAUGAAACCUAUCCACCGCCGCGUUUUCGCGCGUAAUCCGGGGGCGUUUUGUUCGAAUAUCGUAAUAACAAUAGGUAGGCAGGUAGGCGGGCAGGCAGGCAUUUAAUAGUCGUGCGUAUAGAGGUUUCACUGUAUAAUAAUACGUGCCGGCGAUAACAUAUGUACACGCAUGAAUAAAACGUUUUCGACGCGAACCGUAUCCGUUCGGCAGUCGGCACGGUUCGCGCGUCCAACACAACACAUUACGGGAAUCUAAACGGAAUCGCGCGUAAACAACGCAAUACGAUAUUAUGUUAUCAUACAAUAUUAUAAUAUCAUUAUACGCGUCGACAAUAAUAAUAAUAAUAAUAAUAAUAAUAAUAAUAAUAAUAAUUAUAAUCUUAAACGCUAUUUUCUCCGACCGGACGUCGGGAGACGGGAGCGCGCCCGCACCGCGAGAACGUGCGAAAAUUACUACAACACGGGAUUACGCACGCCGCGGACGGGCGCGCGAUUUCGGUGUCGUGGGGCGCGGCACGGCGCGACGACGGAUUUCUGCG